rnacentral:rRNA from 1 species
UACGUAGGGUGCAAGCGUUAAUCGGAAUUACUGGGCGUAAAGCGUACGCAGGCGGCUAUGUAAGACAGGUGUGAAAUCCCCGGGCUCAACCCGGGAACUGCGUCCGAUACUGGCAGGCUUGAAUCCGGGAGAGGGAUGUGGAAUUCCAGGUGUAGCGGUGAAAUGCGUAGAUAUCUGGAGGAACACCGGUGGCGAAGGCGGCAUCCUGGACCGGUAUUGACGCUGAGGCGCGAAAGCCAGGGGAGCAAACGGG